AUUGAACGCUGGCGGCAGGCCUAACACAUGCAAGUCGAGCGGUAGAGAGAAGCUUGCUUCUCUUGAGAGCGGCGGACGGGUGAGUAAUGCCUAGGAAUCUGCCUGGUAGUGGGGGAUAACGUUCGGAAACGGACGCUAAUACCGCAUACGUCCUACGGGAGAAAGCAGGGGACCUUCGGGCCUUGCGCUAUCAGAUGUGCUGAGGUCGGAUUAGCGAGUUGGUGGGGUAAUGGCUCAUCAACGCGACGAUCCGUAACUGGUCUGAGAGGAUGCUCAGUCACACUGGAACUGAGACACGGUCCAGACUCCUACGAGAGGCAGCAGUGGGGAAUAUUGGACACAGGGCGAAAGCCUAAUCCAGCCAUGCCGCGUGUGUGAAGAAGAUCUUCGGACUGUAAAGCACUUUAAGGUGGGAGGAAGGGCAGUAAAUUAAUACUUUGCUGUUUUGACGUUACCGACAGAAUAAGCACCGGCUAACUCUGUG
rnacentral:rRNA from 1 species